AGGAAGUCACACAAGAUACAUAGAUGAAUUAGGGCUUCUAAGGCAAACAAGCUUCAAACUCUUGAUGAAUUCUUGAUCAAAAUAAAAAAUAAAAGAACAGACGUUCCAUAUAUGAUGUUUAGAAUCAAUUUGAAACUUUCCUUGAUUAAUCUCUAGCCAUGAGGAUUUCAAUCCCUAGUUGUGAGCUUAAUAGGGCACAGGUGGAUGCACACACUACCUACAAAAGAAACAAAGAUACACUAGACAUAUUUUUGGCAUAUUGGUUAGUAAAAAAGAAA
rnacentral:lncRNA from 1 species